GUUCCGCAUCAAAUACGGACGCAAGAAUUGUGCUUCGCCACUCAUCUCUCUCUCUCCCUUCCUGUCCGUCGCUCUCCUGCGAUCGCUUUCGCUUGCUCUCCCUUGCUCGCUAAGGUCUCUCUAUCAAUUCUUCUCAGACUUUUGCAGCAAAAACCCUUAGUUCCGAUUUCUGGCCAUUAGAUCCGGAAGAGAGUCGAAUCGGAAACCGAAGAGUUUCGGAUCGAUUGCACGAUAAGGGAGAAGGAGACGGAAGGGAGGAAUCGGUCGGAUCUUCGUUCUCCUUUGGUGUUUUUGCUGCUCGUGCAAUGCUGAUCUCUUGAUCGGCUCUGAUUUGUUCCCGGCGUCGUCUCGAGAUUAGAGAUCGGGGAGACCGAAUGGAGUUUGGAUUGGGAGUUUGAGAGACUCAGGUGGAUCCGUCUUGGUCUGCCUCACCCUCGUUCGUCCGGUGCUUUUGUUUCCUUUUUUGCGUUCUUGGGCGAAAAAGCAGGAUGUGGAGAUGUUGAUUAUCACUUGCGUUACUGAGUCACCAGCAUUGAAUGAAACGCAUCGAGCAUGUAGACAGAGUUAAGUGAUACCUGAGCCUUUUCUUUUCUCUGCACCCUUGGUGUUAUGGUUUUCUUCUGAAGCAAUUCUUCUCUCCUGGCGCUUCGUGUCCCGCAUAUAUUUAUUUCUCCCCAAGACAGUCCAGGGUUUAGCGAUAAGUAUGCUUAACGAUAUGUUUUGGCGAUGUUUUAUGGUUAAGGGGUCCUGGAAGGUAUUGGCUACUGGACAAUCCUGUGUUAUAUUUGCUUAUAUUCAGUAGUCAGCCGACUGAAGUCAGGGAGCUAGUAAAUCUGUGGAAAUUAGCUACUAUUUCUUAUUUUAGCAAAAGUGCAUGAUACAGAUUAGUAGUUCCUCUUCGUGAAACAGAUUUUGUAUGCCAUCGUUGAAAUCCAUAUUUGCGUGCCAGCUCAAAGGGGAACUCUUGUUUCCUGAUUCGUUGUAUCUGAAAGAGUAGGAGAUCGGAUAUCUUUUUUCAGAGAAGCAGCGCCAAGACACUCAUAUACUGUACAUAUCUACUUUACUGGAAGAGCUGAUAGGUUUUCAAAUUGGUGUUAUCUGUGAGGAGCUCUUUGAGAAGUUAAUAUGGUAGACUAGAUGGAAUGGCUUGGUAUCUCCUCGCAAAGGAACAUGAAAUUCCCUUGGCUAAUGCAUUUUGGCCAAGGACCGAAGGAGAAGAGAUUCACUGGGGGCCUCCUAUCUUCAUAAAAUUUAGAAACCCACUAGCUCUUUUGCUCCAAAUGAUCUGCAUUAUUUGUUCAUUGAGUUCUUGCAUUAAAUUUAAAUAUUAUGACUUCCAACCAGCCAUUGUUAUGCUCAAAAGGAAGUGCUGAAGUAUCUUCUAAUGGAUCUUCUCCUCCGCUAAGACGUGGUUCAUUCAGCUGCCUCUGUCACACUGCUUCUCAUUCAUCUUCCCACUUUAAUUCUUCAGCUUCUGAUUUUGAAGACACACACAGUAAUUUUGCUGAUUCAGUUGUGUCUGGGUCAAGGUUCCAAUCAGCAGACUCUCAGUACUUUCAGGGUAUUUUUGAGUGCCCUUCACAAAAGAUGGUCACAGAACCAAAUAAAUUGCUGGAUGUUGUCAACAAAAGUUCCCUUGAGAUAUCUGGGCCUGCAGUGUACAUUUCACAUGAGAAAAGAUCUUCUGUUUCAGGUAUCGAAAAGUCAAUAUCUCAAAGGACCCGCCAUAGAAGUUUGGAAGCAAAUGAAUUUCUAUCUUCAGAAGAGAAUUCAAGAUUGAUAUAUAUCAAUGAUCCAAGGAGGACAAAUGACAAGUAUGAAUUCACUGGGAAUGAGAUCCGGACCAGUAAAUACACUGUAAUCACCUUUUUACCAAAGAAUCUGUUUAUUCAGUUUCAUCGGUUGGCAUAUCUAUACUUUUUAGCAAUUGCUGCUUUGAACCAGCUUCCACCCCUUGCUGUGUUUGGUAGGACGGUGUCUCUCUUUCCACUUCUCUUUGUUCUAUUUGUUACGGCGAUCAAAGAUGGAUACGAAGAUUGGAGAAGGCACCGUUCUGACAGAAAAGAGAAUAACAGAGAGGCUGAAGUACUUCAAGGUGGUUCUUUUCAUCAUGAGAAGUGGAAAAAGAUAAGGGCUGGUGAAGUCUUGAGGAUCCAUGAAGAUGACACUAUCCCAUGUGACAUGGUGCUUUUGAAAACAAGUGAUCCAAGUGGCAUUGCUUAUGUUCAGACAAUGAACCUCGAUGGGGAGUCGAACCUAAAGACCAGAUAUGCAAGGCAGGAAACCACAAUGAUGGAUUUUGAAUCUGAUGCAGUAUUUGGACUCAUUAGAUGUGAACAACCAAACAGAAAUAUUUAUGAAUUCACAGCUGCUAUGGAACUUGAAGGACAGAAAAUUCCACUGGGACAGUCUAACAUAGUUCUGCGAGGUUGUCAGCUCAAGAAUACAAAGUCGAUUGUCGGUGUAGUUGUCUAUGCUGGUCAAGAAACCAAAGCGAUGUUGAAUAGUGCAAUUUCACCAUCAAAAAGGAGCAAACUGGAAGGUUACAUGAACAGAGAAACAUUGUGGUUAUCUGUAUUCCUUUUCGUCAUGUGUGCUGUAGUGGCUAUUGGAAUGGGUCUUUGGUUGAAAAAUCACAAGAAUGAGCUUGAUACAGUGCCUUAUUACAGGAGAAGAUACUUCACAAAUGGAGCUAAUAAUGGAAAAAAUUACAACUAUUAUGGCCUUCCCUUGGAGACAUUCUUUUCCUUUCUAAGUUCUGUCAUUGUUUUCCAGAUUAUGAUACCAAUAUCCCUUUAUAUAUCUAUGGAGCUGGUACGUCUUGGGCAGUCAUAUUUUAUGAUUGGAGAUAGAAGGAUGUAUGAUGAUAAUUCAGACUCUAGGUUUCAAUGCAGAUCAUUGAACAUUAACGAGGACUUAGGUCAGGUACGGUACAUUUUUUCUGAUAAGACAGGAACUUUGACUGAGAACAAGAUGGAGUUCUGCAAGGCUAGCAUAUGCGGGAAGAGCUACAGUGGUGGCACUUAUGUGAUGGAUCGUUCAGCUCAUGAUACUUCAGACACUCAUUUGGACAAGAUAGUCAUCUCAGAAGCCAAAGAAAGACACAGAUGGAAAACCAAGGCAGAAAUCAAGAUUGAUGCUGAACUUGUCUCACUAUUACAGAAAGGUUUAGUUGGAGAGGAGCGGAAGGCUGCACAUGAGUAUUUUCUGACUCUGGCCGCUUGCAAUACAGUAAUACCUAUCAUAACCCAAAAUGCAGCUUCUGAAAAUGGUGCUUCCGUUGUUGAUGAAGUGGUUGAUUAUCAAGGGGAGUCUCCUGAUGAGCAAGCUCUGGUUUCUGCUGCUUGUGCUUAUGGAUACACCCUUAUUGAACGCACAUCUGGGCACCUAGUCAUUGAUAUCCAUGGUGAAAGACUAAGGUUGGAUGUACUGGGCUUGCAUGAAUUUGAUAGUAUACGCAAAAGAAUGUCUGUCAUUGUGAGGUUUCCUGAUAACUCUGUGAAGGUUCUCGUAAAAGGUGCUGAUAAUUCCAUUCUCAGCAUUCUUGCUAAAUCUUCUGAUAGGACUGGUUCCAAUGGAGCUCUUUGCAGUGGUAUUAGAAAUGCCACUCAGAACCACUUGAAUGAAUACUCGUUACAGGGCCUGCGGACACUUGUAAUCGCAGCAAAGGAUAUCACUGAGUUAGAACUAGAUGAGUGGCAGUGCAGUUAUGCAGAGGCAAGCACUUCGCUCAAUGAUAGACCAGCAAAACUCCGUCAGACAGCAGCUCUAAUUGAGAGUAAUUUAAAUCUUCUUGGGGCAACUGGAAUUGAAGACAAACUACAGGAAGGUGUCCCAGAAACCAUAGAAUCGCUUAGGCAAGCAGGGAUCAGGGUUUGGGUUCUCACAGGUGAUAAGCAAGAGACUGCAAUUUCUAUUGGCCUUUCGUGCAAGCUUCUGACACAUGACAUGCAGCAGAUUAUUAUCAAUGGGACUUCAGAAGAAGAAUGUAAAAACCUUUUGGCAGAUGCAAAAACCAAAUACAGAAUCAAAACUGCAGGUUGGGCGAAAGAUGUCAACAGGAACAGGAGUAUCCAUGGUGAUCAUCUGGUUACGCAUGAUGGUAGUGUCUCUUCUAGCAUUGGCAUUGUUGAAAACGAAUUUCAGUCUUCUAGAUUUAGUAAAUCAAUUAAAGAUCUUCCUGAGGAGCAAUCUAGGAGAGUAGCAGCCACGAAGAGGUCCUCACUGGCACUCAUAAUUGAUGGUACUAGUCUUGUUCACAUACUAGCAAAGGACCUUGAAAAUGAGCUUUUUGACUUGGCCAUUUCCUGUGAAGUAGUGGUUUGCUGUCGUGUUGCUCCUCUACAAAAGGCUGGGGUUGUUGAUCUAAUUAAGAGUAGGACCAAUGAUUUGACACUGGCUAUAGGUGAUGGGGCAAAUGAUGUUUCAAUGAUCCAAAUGGCUGAUGUUGGAGUUGGGAUAUCUGGUCAGGAGGGGCGCCAAGCAGUUAUGGCAUCAGAUUUUGCAAUGGGGCAAUUCAGAUUCUUGAAAAGGUUAUUGCUAGUUCAUGGGCAUUGGAAUUAUCAGCGUGUUGGCUAUUUGGUUUUAUACAAUUUCUACAGAAAUGCUGUGUUUGUCUUGAUGCUUUUCUGGUAUAUCUUGUAUACGGCAUUUUCAACUACUUCUGCAUUGACAGAUUGGAGCAGCGUCUUCUAUUCUGUCAUAUAUACCUCUGUGCCCACAAUAAUUGUUGGCAUUUUUGACAAGAACUUGAGUCACAAGACGCUGCUUGAGUAUCCAAAACUUUACAGGGCUGGGCAUAGACAAGAGAGCUACAAUUCACGUCUUUUCUGGCUCACGAUGAUUGAUACGGUUUGGCAAAGUCUUGUUCUUUUCUACGUUCCAUUUUUGGUUUACAGAUUCGGGCCAAUUGACAUUUGGAGUAUUGGAAGCCUGUGGACGAUUGCAGUUGUUGUUCUUGUGAAUGUUCACUUGGCUAUGGACAUACAUCGAUGGGUAUUCCUUACCCACGCUGCUACCUGGGGCUCCAUACUCAUCACAUAUGUUUGUCUGGUGAUCCUGGACUCAUUUCCCAGCUUUCCUAAUUACUGGACGAUCUACCAUCUUGUGAAGUCACCAACCUACUGGUUAACCAUUUUGUUGAUAACGAUUCUGGCUCUGCUUCCACGGUUUCUUCUGAAAAUCCUCAAGCAGACAUUUUGGCCGUCAGAUAUCCAGAUUGCCCGUGAAGCUGAAAAAUUCAGAAAGCCACCAUACUAUGUGGCUGAGUCGGAGUCAAGACAACCAGCUUGAUAUAUACUGCUGCUGCACUGAGACAGUGAAACACGACUCCUGUGUCAUCUCUAUCGACUCAGUGGUCACUGGUCAGACGGCUCUCCUGCCGGUCGGGAAGUUGUGGAUAGACUCUUGCAGGUACAGCAAAGUUUCCGGUCCUUGCAGAUGAUUCUAUGCUUUUGACAGGAGAGCCCAUUCAGAGAAGAGCCAUGGUCAUCUGCUAAAAAGAUUGUAUAGAUCAAGAUGAUCCUAUGCUUUUGACAGGUGGGAUCACAUUCAGAGAACAGCCAUGGUUAUCUGCUAAAAAGAGUGUAUAAAUCAAAAGGUGCAUCGAGGCUAAGGGAGUCGCUGGCGUUCCAACUGCAGGACUUUGUUCGUCGUAAAAAAAUUGUACCAAUUGUACCAUAUAAAUGGAGUUAUAGAGGUACGCUAAUGGCAAAAAGAAGUUGGAGGCAAUUCGAUUUUGUAUCUUCGUGGAUCCUUUUCUCAAAUCCACUUGUAUGUAGAAACACUAAUUGAAACGCGAAAAAGCUUCAUUCGA